rnacentral:lncRNA from 1 species
AGUAUAUUUCUUUGAUCAAAAUGGUACAAUCUUAGUCUUGUGAGAGUGGUUUCUCUUAAAUUGCAGGUAUAUCAAUUGCAGCUAUGAAGUUAACCUGCUGUUCUAUUUACCUACCUGUGCCACAGAGCUAAAUAUUAUCAGAGUAUGGCAAUUAUUCAGAAGAAAAUCAUUUUUGUUGAUGUGAAAUUUAAUUGCUGAAAUUGAAGAACCCAAAUCACUAGGAAGAAAAAGGCAGUUGCCUGAUACAGACGGAGACACUUGUCCAAGAUUCGGGAGACCGGGAUACUUUUCCUGCCCUCAGCAUGGACGUCUCAGGGUAGCUGGACUGGUGGCUGGCUUCCUCUGGACCAAGGCAGAGGCUGCAAACUUCUUCUGAUCUAGCAUGUCAGUAUGAUACUAUCACA